UUGGCAAACUUAUCGAAAGGUAAGGACGCAAAGCUAUGGGUCUAAACUCAUCGGAGUAUGACAGCCGGUUGCCG
rnacentral:ncRNA from 1 species